rnacentral:rRNA from 1 species
UACGUAGGGUGCAAGCGUUAAUCGGAAUUACUGGGCGUAAAGCGUGCGCAGGCGGCUUUGCAAGACAGAUGUGAAAUCCCCGGGCUCAACCUGGGAACUGCAUCCGAAACUGCCUUGCUAGAGUAUGGGAGAGGGAAGUGGAAUUUCCGGUGUAGCGGUGAAAUGCGUAGAUAUCGGAAGGAACAUCAGUGGCGAAGGCGACUUCCUGGACCAAUACUGACGCUCAGGUGCGAAAGCGUGGGGAGCAAACAGG